AUAAACAAGUCCCGUUCACGGAGGCGUCCUUGGUUGCAUGGUAAAUUGACUUCCGGUAGAUUUUUUUUUACUUUAUAAAGAAACCAUUCCCGAAGAUUUUUACCACCACUUUUACAGCGAAUCAUGAAUGGAAGCUGAAUUGUUAAAGAAGAAGUUACAGAGGAGCAUACUACAUCCAAAAACCUGAUUUGAUUGUCACUAACUUUCAAAUUGAAUGAUUUGAUUGUCACUAGCUUUCAAAUUGAAUGAUUUGAUUGUCACUAGCUUUCAAAUUGAAGGGGAUCUACUACAACUGCUCAUGAAUUUUGAGAUUGUACAGCAAAUAGAGGAACAAAUUUUAUCUGCUUCCACUUAGACAAACAGCAUGUAAAUGUGCUAUUGUAAUGAGUAGAAGAUCUUUAUCAUUUAGAAUAUCAUGUGUCAUUGACUUAUGAAAACAAAAUGCAACAGCAAAAUAUCAGUCCACACAUUUCAAGAUGAGGAAAAGAACAGUAUAAUCUACAUUCAUUGAUGCAUUAUUUAUACAAAAAUGUAUAGUCAACCCAGUCAUCACUCCAUUUUUUUAUGAAGCCAGUUACAGUUACAAUGAAGGGAUGAAAUUUCAGAUAAUAUUCUGUUUGUUUGAUGAAAUGAGAAUAGGCCUACAUCAGAAAUUGAAAUGGUCAUCUUCAGUAUUUAAUGUUUCAUCUAAAAAUGAUAAUUAUAUUAAUACAUAUUUGAUGUACAAACAAAUGAAAACCAUUCAAAUACUUUUUUUUGUGAAGUAUAGAUGAUUAAACUUGUAAGUGU